AUGUACCUUAAAUCUUGGUGCUUCAUGGUUAGUUUUGCAGGUUUGCAUCCAGUUGUUCUUCUGGCUCACUGUGCAAAUCCAUGCAAAACUGAUUAUGGCACUUAAUCGGCAACUGAUCUGUG
rnacentral:precursor_RNA from 14 species